rnacentral:rRNA from 1 species
GACGAACGCUGGCGGCGUGCUUAACACAUGCAAGUCGAACGCUGAAGCUCAGCUUUUGUUGGGUGGAUGAGUGGCGAACGGGUGAGUAACACGUGAGUAACCUGCCCCCUUCUUUGGGAUAACGCCCGGAAACGGGUGCUAAUACUGGAUAUUCACUGGUCUCCGCAUGGGGGUUGGUGGAAAGGGUUUUUCUGGUGGGGGAUGGGCUCGCGGCGUAUCAGCUUGUUGGUGGGGUGAUGGCCUACCAAGGCUUUGACGGGUAGCCGGCCUGAGAGGGUGACCGGGCACAUUGGGACUGAGAUACGGCCCAGACUCCUACGGGAGGCAGCAGUGGGGAAUAUUGCACAAUGGGCGCAAGCCUGAUGCAGCGACGCCGCGUGAGGGAUGGAGGCCUUCGGGUUGUGAACCUCUUUCGCUCAUGGUCAAGCCGCAACAAUGGUUGUGGUGAGGGUAGUAGGUAAAGAAGCGCCGGCUAACUACGUG